UACAAAAAUAUUUUCUUAUAAUUUAAAUAUGAAUGUGGAAUUAUCUGUUACUUUUGAAAACUGUUUUACACCUAUGCCACGCACUGUAGAUAGUCAAAACUCAAGUCAAGUCACUCAUUAUUGGCUGGCUAUGGCCGUCAAAAGUCUCAAGGGAGGACACGCGCCGCGACUGAUGUGUGAUGUGCGUUGACUUGUGACCCCAACAUUGGGUUUGGAAUUUAAAUUGUAAAUGCUGUCAGUUCAUAUAUUAUGCAUGCAGAUACACAAUUAGUCAGGCACAAAAAUAUUUUUCAAUGCAAACAAAUCACCGCGAGUGGGGGCUAGGAGGAGCGUUGGAAGAUUUAAUUUACUUACCCUCAUCUGGGAGUAUUCCGCUAGGAAUCCAAUAUUUAUCGUGUCAGAGAGACGGCGUGUCGAGGAUGCUGCUGUUGCUGCUGCAGUUCCUGUCCCUGGCAGGGAGCUGCUCUGAGUGCCCAGCAGCAGAAGCAACACCAGGAUGGCAGCAGGCAAUGCGAGAUUGCAACAGAAUGCGGCUGUGGCAGUGGCAGGCAUUCUUAACGGACGCAAUAAAGUUUUAUUUUACACGAAACUGAUAUCGUCGCGCACAAGGACGGAGGGAACUCCGACAACAACGACUACGGCACUGCUUGACGGCACUACGUCACCAAGAAAUACCAUCACAUGGUGCGGAGUAGAGCUCGAGAAUCCAGCUAAUAUAAACAACCGACCAGAGUCCACACAUAUAUUAAAUAUUCCUAAUUCUAAUCCCAA